UACGAAGGGGGCUAGCGUUGCUCGGAAUUACUGGGCGUAAAGCGCACGUAGGCGGCUUGUUAAGUCAGGGGUGAAAUCCUGGAGCUCAACUCCAGAACUGCCUUUGAUACUGAAGAUCUUGAGUUCGGGAGAGGUGAGUGGAACUGCGAGUGUAGAGGUGAAAUUCGUAGAUAUUCGCAAGAACACCAGUGGCGAAGGCGGCUCACUGGCCCGAUACUGACGCUGAGGCACGAAAGCGUGGGGAGCAAACAGG
rnacentral:rRNA from 1 species